rnacentral:rRNA from 1 species
AUUGAACGCUGGCGGCAUGCCUUACACAUGCAAGUCGAACGGCAGCGCGGACUUCGGUCUGGCGGCGAGUGGCGAACGGGUGAGUAAUACAUCGGAACGUACCCUGUUGUGGGGGAUAACUAGUCGAAAGACUAGCUAAUACCGCAUACGACCUGAGGGUGAAAGUGGGGGACCGCAAGGCCUCACGCAGCAGGAGCGGCCGAUGUCGGAUUAGCUAGUUGGUGGGGUAAAGGCCCACCAAGGCGACGAUCAGUAGCUGGUCUGAGAAGACGAUCAGCCACACUGGGACUGGGACACGGCCCAGACUCCGCCGGGAGGCAGCGUUGGGGAAUUUUGGACAAUGGGGGCAACCCUGAUCCAGCAAUGCCGCGUGUGUGAAGAAGGCCUUCGGGUUGUAAAGCACUUUUGUCCGGAAAGAAAUCGCGCUGGUUAAUACCUGGCGUGGAUGACGGUACCGGAAGAAUAAGCACCGGCUAACUACGUGCCAGCCGCCGCCGUAA